GAUGAACGCUGGCGGCGUGCCUAACACAUGCAAGUCGAGCGAUUCUCUUCGGAGAAGAGCGGCGGACGGGUGAGUAACGCGUGGGUAACCUGCCCUGUACACACGGAUAACAUACCGAAAGGUAUGCUAAUACGAGAUAAUAUACUUUUAUCGCAUGGUAGAAGUAUCAAAGCUCCGGCGGUACAGGAUGGACCCGCGUCUGAUUAGCUAGUUGGUAAGGUAACGGCUUACCAAGGCGACGAUCAGUAGCCGACCUGAGAGGGUGAUCGGCCACAUUGGAACUGAGACACGGUCCAAACUCCUACGGGAGGCAGCAGUGGGGAAUAUUGCACAAUGGGCGAAAGCCUGAUGCAGCAACGCCGCGUGAGUGAUGAAGGCCUCGGUCGUAAGCUCUGUCCUCAAGGAAGAUAAUGACGGUACUUGAGGAGGAAGCCCGGCUAACUACGUG
rnacentral:rRNA from 1 species